CGUGUAGGCGGCCGAUCAAGUCGGGUGUGAAAUCCCUCGGCUCAACCGAGGAACUGCAUUCGAUACUGGUUAGCUAGAGUGCGAGAGGGGUGAGUGGAACUCCAGGUGUAGCGGUGAAAUGCGUAGAUAUCUGGAGGAACGCCGGUGGCGAAAGCGACUCACUGGCUCGCAACUGACGCUGAGGCGCGAAAGCUAGGGGAGCGAACG
rnacentral:rRNA from 1 species